rnacentral:rRNA from 1 species
UACGGGGGAGCAAGCGUUGUUCGGAUUUACUGGGCGUAAAGGGCGCGUAGGCGGUAGCACAAGUCAGUUGUGAAAUCUCCGGGCUUAACUCGGAAAGGUCAACUGAUACUGUGCGACUAGAGUGCAGAAGGGGCAACUGGAAUUCUCGGUGUAGCGGUGAAAUGCGUAGAUAUCGAGAGGAACACCUGCGGCGAAGGCGGGUUGCUGGGCUGACACUGACGCUGAUGCGCGAAAGCCAGGGGAGCGAACGGG